rnacentral:rRNA from 1 species
UACGUAGGGUGCAAGCGUUGUCCGGAAUUAUUGGGCGUAAAGAGCUCGUAGGCGGCUUGUCGCGUCGGCUGUGAAAACCUAGGGCUCAACCCUGGGCCUGCAGCCGAUACGGGCAAGCUAGAAUUCGGUAGGGGAGACUGGAAUUCCUGGUGUAGCGGUGAAAUGCGCAGAUAUCAGGAGGAACACCGGUGGCGAGGGCGGGUCUCUGGGCCGAUAUUGACGCUGAGGAGCGAAAGCGUGGGGAGCGAACAGG